UCAAGCUGGCGGCGUGCCUAACACAUGCAAGUCGAACGAGAAAGUGGAGCAAUCCAUGAGUAAAGUGGCGACCGGGUGAGUAACACGUGACUAACCUACCUCCGAGGUGGGGAAUAACUCCGGGAAACCGGGGCUAAUACCGCAUAACAUCGCAAGAUCAAAGCAGCAAUGCGCUUGGAGAGGGGGUCGCGGCUGAUUAGCUAGUUGGCGGGGUAACGGCCCACCAAGGCGAAGAUCGGUAUCCGGCCUGAGAGGGCGCACGGACACACUGGAACUGAAACACGGUCCAGACUCCUACGGGAGGCAGCAGUGGGGAAUUUUGCGCAAUGGGGGAAACCCUGACGCAGCAACGCCGCGUGGAGGAUGAAGCCCUUUGGGGCGUAAACUCCUUUCGACCAAGACGAUAAUGACGGUACUGGUGGAAGAAGCACCGGCUAACUCUGUGCCAGCAGCCGCGGUAAUACAGAGGGUGCAAGCGUUGUUCGGAAUUAUUGGGCGUAAAGGGCGCGUAGGCGGUGCCACAAGUCACCUGUGAAACCUCCGGGCUUNACUCGGAGCCUGCAGGCGAAACUGUGGUGCUGGA
rnacentral:rRNA from 1 species